UGGAGAGUUUGAUCCUGGCUCAGAUUGAACGCUGGCGGCAGGCUUAACACAUGCAAGUCGAGCGGUAGCACARGGGAGCUUGCUCCCYGGGUGACGAGCGGCGGACGGGUGAGUAAUGUCUGGGAAACUGCCUGAUGGAGGGGGAUAACUACUGGAAACGGUAGCUAAUACCGCAUAACGUCGCAAGACCAAAGAGGGGGACCUUCGGGCCUCUUGCCAUCAGAUGUGCCCAGAUGGGAUUAGCUAGUAGGUGGGGUAAUGGCUCACCUAGGCGACGAUCCCUAGCUGGUCUGAGAGGAUGACCAGCCACACUGGAACUGAGACACGGUCCAGACUCCUACGGGAGGCAGCAGUGGGGAAUAUUGCACAAUGGGCGCAAGCCUGAUGCAGCCAUGCCGCGUGUGUGAAGAAGGCCUUCGGGUUGUAAAGCACUUUCAGCGAGGAGGAAGGUGGUGAGCUUAAUACGYUCAUCAAUUGACGUUACUCGCAGAAGAAGCACCGGCUAACUCCGUGCCAGCAGCCGCGGUA
rnacentral:rRNA from 1 species